CUAUGCAUAAUCACAGACAGAUAUUUCUUAAUGUUACGCCGGCGGUACAAACUCCCUAAGGUUCAUAAUCACACAGACAGAUAAUUCUUUGAAAAUGUUACGCCAGCGGUACAAACUCCCUAAGGUUCAUAAUCACACAGACAGAUAAUUCUUUGAAAAUGUUACGCCGGCGGUACAA